AUGCAAUACAGAGUUCACCCUUCUAAGGAUUUCACCUGGAGAGGUUCCAGUACUCUACCAGUCUCAGCUUUGGGAGGAAGAGUCAGAGGCAUAGCCAAUCCAUUCCUGGCUUGGGCAGUGGCUAGAGAGUGGAAGACAAUCUGCUACAAGUCAAAACUCACCCAGGCUGGACAGCAGCAGCACGGGAGAGAGUCGAAGGCAGAGACUCAAGUUUACCGCAUGGAAGAAGGCAAUGGUAAACCACUUCUGUAUUUUUACUAAGAAAACUCUCUGGAUACACUAGUGGGACAACUGUAGAUUGAGGUGGGGCGUUCUGGGAGAGAUGUGUCAAUGUUGUCGCUAUGGGUCGGAAAUGGCUCGACAGCAUAAGAUGAGAAAAGACAAGAGUUAAAAAAAAAAAAAUCCCCCAAUUCUCAUAAAUUUUCACCCACCUUGACCAUUCUUUUAGUGUAGUGGUGGUAUUCCAUCUGAUGACAAUGAACUCCUCAAACCUCUGCUUUUGCUUUGUGUUGGGGAGAAGUUAAAUUUUCUAUUUUUUACAGUUUUGCAAGUAUACAGCCUGAUUUCUGUUAGGUCUAAUUGUGUUUUCUGGCUCUGGCCCCUGGGGUCCAUGCUAGUUUUUUCAUGUAGUUAGUAUCCUCAGAGUAGUGCUUACCAGUCUACUGUAAAACAAAUAAAAAAGUGUUCCACAGCAGGAAAAGUCUCCAGAAAUGUGCAUGGAGAGGAUCCCUCAGUGAUGAGUUCUCUUUCAGCUUGAUCUAUCUACUUUGUCCCUGGUUGCCUUUGUGUUUUAACAGUAUCCAUCCCCCAGAUCCUGUAUUGCUGUGUCUUUCUUCCCCUCUAGACUGUAAGCUCCUUGUGGGCAGGGAAUGCCUGUUUAUUGUUAUAUUGUACUCCCCCAAGUACUAAGUACAGUGCUCUGCACACAGUAAGUGCUCAAAAAGUAUGACUCAUUGAAAUAUGAUAGAUUGUUCCCGCAGUGCUGUUCGCUUUGCUUUCACCUUGAUCUAUCUGCUUUGUCCCCAGCUUGCUUUGUGUCUCUAAUAGUAUCCAUCUCCACAUCCUGUAAUUGAUUGUCUGCCUCCUCCUCUAAUUUGUACUCUGCUUGCGGGGUUGCUGUCUACCUUCUAAAUUGAACUCUCAAGUGCUUAGUUCAGUGCUCUGAAUGCUGUGAGCACUCAAUAAAUAUCAUCUCUUGAAUGAUCC
rnacentral:lncRNA from 1 species